GACGAACGCUGGCGGCGUGCCUAAUACAUGCAAGUAGAACGCACAGUUUAUACCGUAGCUUGCUACACCAUAGACUGUGAGUUGCGAACGGGUGAGUAACGCGUAGGUAACCUGCCUGGUAGCGGGGGAUAACUAUUGGAAACGAUAGCUAAUACCGCAUAAUAUUAAUUAUUGCAUGAUAAUUAAUUGAAAGGUGCAAUUGCACCACUACCAGAUGGACCUGCGUUGUAUUAGCUAGUAGGUGAGGUAACGGCUCACCUAGGCGACGAUACAUAGCCGACCUGAGAGGGUGAUCGGCCACACUGGGACUGCGACACGGCCCAGACUCCUACGGGAGGCAGCAGUAGGGAAUCUUCGGCAAUGGACGAAAGUCUGACCGAGCAACGCCGCGUGAGUGAAGAAGGUUUUCGGAUCGUAAAGCUCUGUUGUAAGAGAAGAACGGGUGUGAGAGUGGAAAGUUCACACUGUGACGGUAUCUUACCAGAAAGGGACGGCUAACUACGUG
rnacentral:rRNA from 1 species